AGAAGAGGAAUGCUGGUAGGAAAUAGAUAGAGGGUCGGAUGUAGAGACAGGGGAAAGGAUGAGGGGAGAUUAAGGAUGAGAGGGAAGUAAGGGGGUGGAAAACAGUGGUCGAAAAGGCGUAAGGGCGGAGGGAGGUACAUGGUCUGUUGAGGAAAAGAUGAAAGGGGGAUUAGAGGAGUGAGAGAGUUAAAAUGUGAGGGCAGGAAAGCAACGUAAUGGUCGGGAGAAUGGCAAAGGAGGGACGAGAGUUUCAUCUGAAUUGCAGAGGCUUGGAAGACACAUGCCGGAGAUGAAGGUGGGGGUUGACAAGAUGCUGUGAUCUGCUCACCAUCUAAUCAACCGCUACAGUACAGAAGACCGGCUGUACCUCUGAGACUCCACCAGCCUGUUCAGUCUCCAUCGUGGAUAUCCUCCUGCCAUCUGCCUGCCUCGAUGUUGGACCUCACCAUGCCACCACCAGUCCUGUACCAGCCCCCUGAUUCACUCUCAGCUAGAUCACCACCUCCCCCUGCACAUUUCAC